rnacentral:rRNA from 1 species
AUGAAAGAUUUAGGAGUGGCUGAUGUCAUUCUGAACAUCAAGUUGUUGAGAGACGAUGAUGGUGGGAUCACAUUGCUUCAAUCUCACAAUGUGGAAAAGAUCUUGAGUCGCUUUGGCUACAGUGACUGCAAGCCCUCUCCAACACCAUAUGAUGCUAGUGUGUUGCUUCGAAAGAAUCGAAGAAUUGCUAGAGACCAAUUGAAGUAUUCUCAGAUUAUUGGCUCGCUUAUGUACUUAGCCAGUGCUACAAGACCUUACAUCUCUUUUGCUGCUAGCAAACUGAGUCGGUUUGUCUCAGAACCAGGAGAUGUGCAUUGGAAAGCUCUAGAGAGAGUUUUGCAUUAUUUGAAAGGCACUGCAAAUUAUGGAAUUCACUACACCGGGCACCCAAAGGUGCUUGAAGGGUAUAGUGACUCAAACUGGAUCUCAGAUGCUGAUGAGAUAAAGGCCACUAUGAUCACGAAAGUGAGCAGCUCAAAGGAUAACAUGAAGUCAUCAAGACACGUUCAGAGAAGGUUAAAGUCUGUCAGGAAAAUGAGAAACUCCGGAGUUAUUGCAUUGGAUUAUAUCCAAACGUCUAAAAAUCUGGCAGAUCCUUUUACAAAGGGUCUAUCACGUAAUGUGAUAGAUAAUGCAUCGAGGGAGAUGGGUAUGAGAUCCACAAUAUGA